UCGAGAAUUUUUCACAAUGGGCGCAAGCCUGAUGGAGCGACGCCGCGUGGGGGAUGAAUGGCUUCGGCCCGUAAACCCCUGUCAUUCGGGAUCAAUGCGCACGGGUGAAUAGCUCGUGCGUUGAUAGUACUGAAAGAGGAAGGGACGGCUAACUCUGUGCCAGCAGCCGCGGUAAUACAGAGGUCCCAAGCGUUGUUCGGAUUUACUGGGCGUAAAGGGUGCGUAGGUGGUCGGGUAAGUCUGAUGUGAAAUCUUCGAGCUCAACUCGAAAACUGCAUUGGAUACUAUCCGGCUCGAGGUUGGGAGGGGAGACUGGAAUUCUCGGUGUAGCAGUGAAAUGCGUAGAUAUCGAGAGGAACACCAGUGGCGAAGGCGAGUCUCUGGACCAAUCCUGACGCUGAGGCACGAAAGCCAGGGGAGCAAACG
rnacentral:rRNA from 1 species